rnacentral:lncRNA from 1 species
GAGAGAGAGACAAGUAAAAGAUGAAAAGAGUGAUGGAGAUGUUUUAGAGGACAUUGUAAAAAGAACAGUAGAAAAAAUAAAUAAAAAAGCCUAUGACAAGCGUCUUAUCAAAAGACCUUUGAAUGUUUCUUUAUAAACAAUUUGACUAGUAAUGAAAUUUAUAUAUAUGCUGACCACAAACAAAGACAUACUAAAAAAAACUGAAUUAGGUGCGAAUAAAAAAAAAGGGGAUUGUUUAU